CAGAUUAUAAUAUUCGGAAGCUCUCUUUCUUCAUUACCCAUAGUAAACGUUUUUAUUUAAAUAAAACAAGAAAAAGGGAAUUAAAGUAUGUGUUUAAGGGUUGAAAAAAUCUCCUUGAUAACAAAAGUUGCAGACUGCUGAAAUGUGAAAAAUUUAUUUACUUCGACGUUGUGUAAAAGAACAUGAUUUUAAAAAACAGCACAUAUCUAGAACUUAAAUAAUUAUAAGGCUUGUGGGCCUCAUUUUG